rnacentral:rRNA from 1 species
CCUGGUGAUUAGAGCGAGGUGGCCCCACCCGUUCCCAUCCCGAACACGGAAGUGAAACGCCUUAGCGCUGAUGAUACUGCCUCGGCAACGAGGUGGGAAAAUAAGCCAUCGCCAGGG